rnacentral:rRNA from 1 species
GACGAACGCUGGCGGCGUGCUUAACACAUGCAAGUCGAACGGACGAGUGAGAUAAGUUUACUUAACUCACAAGUUAGUGGCGGACGGGUGAGUAACACGUGGAUAAUCUACCUGCAACACCGGGAUAACGCUGUGAAAACGGUGCUAAUACCGGAUACGUUCCCUUGUGCGCAUGUAUGAGGGAAGAAAGCUCAGGCGGUUGCAGAUGAGUCCGCGGCUGAUUAGCUAGUUGGUGAGGUAAAGGCUCACCAAGGCGAUGAUCAGUAGCCGGCCUGAGAGGGUGAACGGCCACACUGGGACUGAGACACGGCCCAGACUCCUACGGGAGGCAGCAGUGGGGAAUAUUGGGACAAGUGGAGGAAACUCUGAUCCAGCAAUUCUGUGUGCACGAUGAAGGUUUUCGGAUCGUAAAGUGCUUUCAGUAGGGAAGAAGAAGUGACGGUACCUACAGAAGAAGCGACGGCUAAAUACGUGCCAGCAGCCGCGGUAAAACG